GAUGAACGCUGGCGGCGUGCUUAACACAUGCAAGUCGAACGGGAAUUAUUUUAUUGAAACUUCGGUCGAUUUAAUUUAAUUCUAGUGGCGGACGGGUGAGUAACGCGUGGAUAACCUGCCUUAUAAAGGGGGAUAACAGUCAGAAAUGGCUGCUAAUACCGCAUAAGCGCAGACAGCUGCAUGGUUCGGUGUGAAAACCACCGGUGGUAUAAGAUGGACCCGCGUUGGUUGAGCUGGUUGGGGGGGUAACGGCCCACCAAGGCGACGAUCCAUAGCCGGCCUGAGAGGGUGAUCGGACACAUUGGGACUGAGACACGGCCCAGACUCCUACGGGAGGCAGCAGUGGGGAAUAUUGCACAAUGGGGGAAACCCUGAUGCAGCGACGCCGCGUGAAGGAAGAAGUAUCUCGGUAUGUAAACUUCUUUCAGCGGGGAAGAUAGUGACGGUACCUGACUAAGAAGCCCCGGCUAACUACGUG
rnacentral:rRNA from 1 species